rnacentral:rRNA from 1 species
GAUGGACGCUAGCGAUAGGCUUAACACAUGCAAGUCGAACGGGGUGAUUUCCUUCGGGAGAUCGCUUAGUGGCGAACGGGUGAGUAACGCGUGAGGAACCUGCCUUUCAGUGGGGGACAACAGUUGGAAACGACUGCUAAUACCGCAUAAUGUAGCGAGAUCGCAUGAUUUUGCUACCAAAGCUUUAUGUGCUGAAAGAUGGCCUCGCGUCUGAUUAGAUAGUUGGUGAGGUAACGGCUCACCAAGUCGACGAUCAGUAGCCGGUCUGAGAGGAUGAACGGCCACAUUGGGACUGAGAUACGGCCCAG